rnacentral:rRNA from 1 species
GACAGAGGGUGCAAACGUUGUUCGGAAUUACUGGGCGUAAAGCGCGCGCAGGCGGUCUUCCAAGUCAGUGGUGAAAGCCUGGAGCUCAACUCCAGAACUGCCAUUGAAACUGUUAGACUUGAGUACGAGAGAGGUGAGUGGAAUUCCCAGUGUAGAGGUGAAAUUCGUAGAUAUUGGGAAGAACACCGGUGGCGAAGGCGGCUCACUGGCUCGUAACUGACGCUCAGGCGCGACAGCGUGGGGAUCAAACAGG